rnacentral:rRNA from 1 species
UACGUAGGGGGCGAGCGUUAAUCGGAAUUACUGGGCGUAAAGCGUGCGCAGGCGGCUUUGUAAGUCAGAUGUGAAAGCCCCGGGCUUAACCUGGGAAUGGCAUUUGGGACUGCAAGGCUUGAGUCCGGGAGAGGAGACUGGAAUUCCCGGUGUAGCAGUGAAAUGCGUAGAUAUCGGGAGGAAUACCGAUGGCGAAGGCAGGUCUCUGGGCUGACACUGACGCUCAUGCACGAAAGCGUGGGGAGCAAACAGG